rnacentral:rRNA from 1 species
UACGUAGGGGGCAAGCGUUGUCCGGAUUUACUGGGUGUAAAGGGCGCGUAGGCGGGUUAGCAAGUCAGAGGUGAAAUCCUACAGCUUAACUGUAGAACUGCCUUUGAUACUGCUGAUCUUGAGUGCGGAAGAGAGAGACAGAAUUCCAGGUGUAGUGGUGAAAUACGUAGAUAUCUGGAAGAAUACCAGUUGCGAAGGCGGUCUCUUGGUCCGUAACUGACGCUCAGGCGCGAAAGCGUGGGGAGCAAACAGG